rnacentral:lncRNA from 1 species
GGGCCCCUUGAGUUAGCUUGGUCUACAUACUGGGAUUAAAGUAGUGUCUGCUGAAAUUUGAAAUCUCUUCUAUUAUAUAAGCCUCCAUAAUAGAACCUUCAACUCGGGCCUUAUUUUUUAUUUUUUUCUUGAGUCUGUGCAUGUAUCUUUCAAAUGGAUACAUCCACCUGUAUUGCAUUGGACCCCCCACCCUAGCUUCAUAUGCCAGAUGAAUCAUGAGGUGCUCCAUGGAGUCAAAGAAGCUGGAAGGGAAUAUCUUCUCCAACUUGCAUAUGAUCUCUACAUUGCUAGCCUCA